GAAGGAAGGUGCUUCUGACACCCUUUUGGACACUGGUUCUUACUCCCGGAGAAUAAUGGUUAUUACUGAGUGCUUACUACAUGCUAUUACUCUAAGCUCUUCACAGGAAUUAAUCCCUUUAACGCUCACAACAAUCCCAGGCGGUGGAUGUUAUCUUGUCCAUUUUAAAGAGGAAGAAAUGGAGGCACCAGGAGGUUGAGUAACUUGCCUCAGGCGCUGCCUCUCCUACGUGGCAGAACUAAGCCGAACCCAGACAGGCUAGUCCAAGCUCCACUCUCUGGAUGCUCCAGACACCACCUCUGCGACAGAGAAGGGGAGUCCUGGCACGCCCGGCUGCCGCCUUCCCCAUCUGCACUCUCCUGCCUGGUUCUGGGCUGGCCUGGGGAUCGUGACUCACUUGCCUUAAGGCUCAAGGGUCUUGCAAAGGUUUGCCUUCCACCAACUCUCCUCGAUCAGCAGACACUCCCGAAGGUGCAGCCCACACCUGCACUCCCAGACCACACUCAGCCCCUCCCUGCCGAGGCCCUCGCUCCGCUCUGGUGAGUCACAGCUCCUGCUGCACAGCAGUCCCCGGUGGGCCCCGCCCUGCCCACAGGAAGUGACAAGAGUCAGAUAUAACUUUUCUCCCAGGGCUGGUGCACAUGUUCAAAAGGUGGUUAAAACGGGCAAGAGCUGUCUGUGCAGGGACCGCUCUGGAGAAGGACCAGGGCAGGAGGCGGCAGAGCCUCGGAGGUCUCCGAUUCCCAUCUUUCCUGAACCGGCUCUGAAACGGCAGAGCCGGCCUGAGGAGCCACGGGCUACAGCACCACCAAGCAUGCAGGGGCUUGGGGCACCUGAGAGGCGGGGCCAGAGGGGGCAGCCCGAGGGGGAAUGUCCGAGGGGGCUGGAUUCUCUUUGCAUUUAAAAAAAUGGAAGUGUCAAAAAAAAAAAAGUAAAAAGAAAAAUCAAAAUGUUGCCUUGUGGGUGUGGCUCAGUGGUUGAGCAUUGACCUAUGAACCAGGAGGUCGAGGUUCUAUUCCCAGUCAGGACACAUGCCCGGGGUGUGGGCUUGAUCCCCAGUAGGGGGUGUGCAGGAGGCAAUCAAUGAUUCUCUCUCACCAUUGAUGUUUCCAUCUCUCCCUCUCCCUUCCUCUCUAAAAUCAAUAAAAAAAAUAUUUUUUUUAAAAAAAUUGAAGUGUCGUUUCUUUCAGGAACCUCCCCUCAGGGCUCUGAGGUCCUCCAGGACCCAAAGGCCAAGGGAGCUGUUGCCUCUGCGGCCACUGUGCCCUUGGGUAGCACUGACGGUCAGGCUGCCACUCAACAGGGCUUGCCAUGUGCCCACUCUGGGGCAAGGACCCCAAAUGGUCAGACCUAUUCCCAGGAUGCACUUUGGACCAUCUCCAGUGAUUGGGGCAAACCAACAUUCCACUUAUAAUCCCUCCAAAAAGACAAAGAGCCACAAAGCAAACAGCUCUAGAACCCCAUGGAACGGGAUACGCCAUGGAGAGGAGAGGAGAGGGGCUCGGUGCACCCGAGCCACCUGGGGUCUGUGAAAGUGUGGGUCUGUGGGAGUCUGAGAUUCCACAUCUCUCCCAGCCAGUGCCCAUGGACCACACUGGAGUACUGGCAUUGGGGAUGCUAUAGAGCGUUUGGGAGGGUGUGUCAGUGCACCCUGAUAGAACCAGGGGAGGAAAAUGGACUCUAGGAAACUAAAACUGGCAAAGAGGCAGGUCUGAAAAGUGAGGACAGUAAUGCCAAUUCCAUAGGCUUCGGGGAGGAUAAAAUGAGAAGAUAUAUGAAGGCCUUAGUAUAGGGCCUGGCACAGACUAAGCAGUCAGUGAAUAGAAUACUUGUCGGUAUUAUUAUUAUAACUAGAGGCCUGGUGCAUGAAAUUUGUGCACUUGGGGGGAGAGGGGAGUCCCUCAGCCCAGCCUGGGCCCUCUCGCAGUCCGGGAGCCCUUGCGGGAUGUCCGACUGCCGGCUUAGGCCCGCUCUCCAGUCAGACAUCCUUAGCACUGCCGCGGAGGCGGGAGAGGCUCCUGCCACCACUGCUGCACUCACCAGCCGUAAGCCUGGCUUCUGGCUGAGCGGCGCUCCCCCUGUGGAAGCGCACUGACCACCAGGGGGCAGCUCCUGUGUUGAGCGUCUGCCCCCUGGUGGUCAGUGCACGUCAUAGUGACUGGUCGUUCCACCGUUCAGUUGAUUUGCAUAUUAGCCUUUUAUUAUAUAGGAUUAUAAAUAGCUGAAGCAAAGCAGUGGAAUGUCUCCUUUUACUUCCGAGUCCUGCACCAACACAGGUCAAAACAGAUGUCUCCGGGGAGGCAGGAACUCCCCUCUCCCUUGUGAUGCUGGCCAGGAGAACUGGAUGACCUUGACCAGAGGGCAGAAGGUCUCAGUCCAAGGGCCUCAGAUAGACACGUUUGGAAACUCACACAGCGUUCAAUGCAGAUUGCACACGGGCCUGCCUGGUUCCACGGCAAUCCCCGCUGCAGUGUCUCCUGUGCGUGGAUUUGGAACCAUCAUC